AUGUAGGGUUCAAAGCCAUUAG
rnacentral:miRNA from 8 species